GCAUAUCAAUAAGCGGAGGAAAAGAAACCAACAGGGAUUGCCCCAGUAACGGCGAGUGAAGCGGCAACAGCUCAAAUUUGAAAUCUGGCCCCCCGGCCCGAGUUGUAAUUUGGAGAGGAUGCUUCUGGCGCGGCGCCGUCCGAGUUCCUUGGAACAGGACGCCACAGAGGGUGAGAGCCCCGUACGGACGGACGCCUAGCCUCUACGAAGCUCCUUCGACGAGUCGAGUAGUUUGGGAAUGCUGCUCAAAAUGGGAGGUAAAUUUCUUCUAAAGCUAAAUACCGGCCAGAGACCGAUAGCGCACAAGUAGAGUGAUCGAAAGAUGAAAAGCACUUUGAAAAGAGGGUUAAAAAGUACGUGAAAUUGUUGAAAGGGAAGCGCCUGUGACCAGACUUGCGCCUCGCGGACCACCCGGCGUUCUCGCCGGUGCACUCUGCGUGGCGCAGGCCAGCAUCGGUUCUCCCAGGGGGACAAAGGCCGCGGGAACGUAGCUCCUUCGGGAGUGUUAUAGCCCGCGGCGGCAUGCCCCUGGGGGGACCGAGGACCGCGCUUCGGCAAGGAUGCUGGCGUAAUGGUCACCAGCGACCCGUCUUGAAACACGGACCAAGGAGUCAAGCAUUGGGGCGAGUGUAUGGGUGCCAAACCCGCACGCGAAAUGAAAGUAAACGCAGGUGAGAGCUUCGGCGCAUCAUCGACCGAUCCUGAUGUCUUCGGAUGGAUUUGAGUAAGAGCCUUACCGCUUGGACCCGAAAGAUGGUGAACUAUGCCUGAAUAGGGUGAAGCCAGAGGAAACUCUGGUGGAGGCUCGCAGCGGUUCUGACGUGCAAAUCGAUCGUCAAAUUUGGGCAUGGGGGCGAAAGACUAAUCGAACCAUCUAGUAGCUGGUUACCGCCGA
rnacentral:rRNA from 1 species